CCUGCAGCAAAGCGGGCGGCCCUUCUCUGUGCCCCUUCAUCCUCUCCUUCCACCCCGAGGUAGAAGAAUAAAAUUAAAUACAAAUAUGGUGUGUGUGGGGAGGGGGGGGAGUUAAAAAUAAUGAUCAAAAAGAGGAGAAAGAGACCCAAAGCUCCCGAAAUCUCCCAAAGCCAAAAGCAUCGCUGUCGGGCCGUGGGAAAACGGCGAAGAGGACAAAGAUCGGCCGAGGGGGGGGGGGGGGGUAGAGAAGGGCUGAGGGGGGAGUGGGGGGCGGCAGGUUUGGGUUCAGGUUUUGUACCCCACUGCUGACCCCCACCCCACACCCGGGACACAAAAAGGGGUAACGGCGGCUGAGCGAAUUGCGAGAAUUGGGGGAUUUCUGCUCUCAUUCUCUCUUCUCCAUCAGGGAGACGGAUAGAGGGGCGAAGCAACCCCCCCCCUCUCCAAUCUAGAACCCCCAUCCCGGUCCUGUGAGGGGCCCCCGCAUCCCAAAAACCCCGCGAGGAGGAAGGGGGUGUGAGUCCAUACGCGGUCACAGCAAAACCCUCCAACCCCAAACGACGGAGUAAUGCCAAGAGGACUUCUGAUGCUGCACGGGACCGUGCGGAGCCGCGGUGCCACGAAACAAAUCCAUUCCUGAGGGGGUUUUUUUGCCCCCAUCCCUCCUCUUCUCCAACUCCAAACGAGAGACAGAAGUGCCGUUGCACACGUGGGUGUCCUCCGGGGGUAAAGGGGUGCGUGUGCACGGGAAGGGCUGGUGCGUGGGGCAUCCCUGCAUGGAGGUGGGUGAGGAUGAGCGUUCCUCAUCCCUUCACCUUCCUCCCGUCCACCGGCAGUGUUUGCUUUCCCAGCCCGAGCUCCGGGUUGGGCGGAGGUCCCCCCGUGAAGCAGCAAAAGGAUUUCUCUUCGUUUCGUUCCGAGCGACGCGGGUGUGAAGGAGAAAACCCAUUGCCGCAAAUGGGGACGGUCGGAGCCAGUCCCCAAAAACGGGCUGAGAUUCCCCCUACGCUCAAUGGGCGUUCGGGGGAAGUGCAAUUAUAUAUAUCUAUAUAAAUAAUAAUAAAAAUGGGGGGAUGCGGGAGCCGAGGUAUUAAAGAGCACCGAGGAAAGGAACUGACUUCCUGAGUGCUUAAGGAUUAAUACCGCUCCUGCAAACGUGUGUGUGGUUUUAAUAGGGCUGCGAGGAUUAACUGCCCACCUUCCAUUCCGAGCGCCGCUCGAAAAGAGCAUUUCAGGGCUAUUUUGCUAAUAUACGGUCUGCCCGGCAGAAAGCACAUUUUCCCUGCCACCAUUUCCGACUUUUUUGCCCAGUUUCGCACGUUUUGAUGUCACUGUUUAAGUUAUCAAGCCUGGAGAAUAAAGGGAUUUUCUUACUGAUGAAGGUUUGGGUGUGUUUUAUUUCUCUUCUUUUGUGUUUAAAUGAGGAUUUUGAGAGGUUUGGAGAUGGGGUUAAG
ensembl:lncRNA